AGCUGUUUAUCAUUGAAUAACAGUGGACACAGCUAAAAGGGAAAGUAUAUAUCUUGAUAGCUAUUGAUGAUUCUGUACCUCCUUUAAGGAGUAAGUCAUAUUGUCUAUAAAACAAAUCCUGAUGGAAUAAGAUUACCUCAAACCUAAAAGGCACUUAGAUCACAGGUCUCCAGGUAUACAAAUUCCACUACAGAUAUUUUCAAUAAGAGCCCACACUGAGUGAACUGAAAAUGAAAUUAAAAGUCAUUAAGAACUAAGAAGGUA
rnacentral:lncRNA from 1 species